GAGAGGACUGUAUGCAUCAGGGGCAAAAUGUGAUUGAUUUUUUUAAGAAAAGACUUCUGGAAAGGACUUGGAGCUUCCGUUGAUCGUCCCGCGGGCCGGGACAACUGGCGCCCAACGUGGGGCUCGAGCCUUGUGAAGGAUAGAACGCCGCGCUUAAGAAGAGAGCUCUCACACUCACCGCACCCGGGAUCGCCACAAAGAAACUCGCUCGUGAGACAGAUCCGUUCAGCAGUCAACCAGCGCCGGCGAAAAGGAAAAGAAAAAGGUAUUGCUGGCCUAGGCACCGGAACCGCCUCUA